AUGAACACCUUGAUGUGAACUGCGCAAUUUAGACACAUUCAAGAGGAAACCAAAACUAAGGGAUUCUAGGGUAGCUCUACGCCACCUUCAAGAGCGUCCAGCAGGAGAAUGGGGAGGCCUGGACAGUCCCCACCUGGCACCCUCUGGACAGAGCUUUGAAGGAAAGGCUUGAAAGCUACAAGGGUAUGAAAUGGGUUCAUCAAGGGCCAGUCCUGCGGAGGGUCAGUGGCCCUGGACCAUCCCUGAGGUGCAGUCCAUGGGGACCGGGGCGUGCACACAGGAGCAGAGGAGAUAGGCGCAGUAUGUAGUCCUCAGUUUUUUGCCAUGCAUUUGCAUAUAAUGUCAGACGAUGCCACAUGAACACAGAAUUCUGAUGGACCAAGGAUGUGUGGGAGUUCAGUGAGACUCAAUGCCAUUACAAGUUUCACUUAACUCACAGGGUGCCAAGUGCAGGGGCCUGCACCCAGCACUUCAGACCAGAGUUCCUAAUGCAAAACAGCUGCGCCUAACACUUAAACUUGGUGUACCCUGUGCAGAAACGCUGUGCGCAACACUUGAAGAUGGCAGAGAUGCUGCACCUAGCAUUUGGAUCUGGAGCCAUGAGCAGCAGCACAAGAACUCCAUCCUCCUCUCCCCACUAUAAGAAUGCUAUAAAGCAGCCCUGCCAAUGGCCGUUUGGAAAAAACAUGUACUCUUGAGCUCAAGCUUGCACUUCUCCAUUUGAUCAUCAAAGAAUAAAACUUUGCUUUGCUUCUGAAUGGAACUUGGACUCAUUUUAUUAGCUGGAAUGACUCCAGGCAGGAGGACCCUGGGACCUGACCCAAAAGGAUCAACUUUUGGCAACCCAGAUGGCGUUUUCAUCUGUACCGAUCCACUCAGCUCUGGGCUCGUUGGCGCUCAGGGCUCCAGUCCGUGGAUGGUGUAGGCUUUGAAGGUUCGCCUGGGAAUGACUGCCUCUGGUCUUUGAGUACA